AUUGAACGCUGGCGGCAUGCUUUACACAUGCAAGUCGAACGGUAACAGGUUAAGCUGACGAGUGGCGAACGGGUGAGUAAUGCAUCGGAACGUGCCCGGUCGUGGGGGAUAACGCAGCGAAAGCUGCGCUAAUACCGCAUACGAUCUGAGGAUGAAAGCGGGGGACCGUAAGGCCUCGCGCGAUCGGAGCGGCCGAUGUCAGAUUAGGUAGUUGGUGGGGUAAAGGCCCACCAAGCCGACGAUCUGUAGCUGGUCUGAGAGGACGACCAGCCACACUGGGACUGAGACACGGCCCAGCCUCCUACGGGAGGCAGCAGUGGGGAAUUUUGGACAAUGGGCGAAAGCCUGAUCCAGCAAUGCCGCGUGCAGGAAGAAGGCCUUCGGGUUGUAAACUGCUUUUGUACGGAGCGAAAAGGUCCUUUCUAAUACAAGGGGCUCAUGACGGUACCGUAAGAAUAAGCACCGGCUAGCUACGUGCCAGCCGCCGCCGUAACAC
rnacentral:rRNA from 1 species